GACGAACGCUGGCGGCGUGCUUGACACAUGCAAGUCGAACGGAAAGGCCCUGCUUUUGUGGGGUGCUCGAGUGGCGAACGGGUGAGUAACACGUGAGUAACCUGCCCUUGACUUUGGGAUAACUUCAGGAAACUGGGGCUAAUACCGGAUAGGAGCUCCUGCUGCAUGGUGGGGGUUGGAAAGUUUCGGCGGUUGGGGAUGGACUCGCGGCUUAUCGGCUUGUUGGUGGGGUAGUGGCUUACCAAGGCUUUGACGGGUAGCCGGCAUGGGAGGGUGACCGGCGACAAUGGGACUACGAUAGGGCCCAGACUGCUACGGUAGGCAGCGGGGGGAAAUAUUGCACAAUGGGAGGAAGCCUGAUGCAGCAACGCCGCGUGCGGGAUGACGGCUUUCGGGUUGUAAACCGCUUUCGCCUAUGACGAAGCGUGAGUGACGGUAAUGGGUAAAGAAGCACCGGCUAACUACGUG
rnacentral:rRNA from 1 species